rnacentral:rRNA from 1 species
ACUCAAAGGAAUUGACGGGGACCCGCACAAGCGGUGGAGCAUGUGGUUUAAUUCGAAGCAACGCGAAGAACCUUACCAAGUCUUGACAUCGGAAUGACAGCCUUAUAACUAAGGUCUCCCUACGGGGCAUUCUAGACAGGUGGUGCAUGGUUGUCGUCAGCUCGUGUCGUGAGAUGUUGGGUUAAGUCCCGCAACGAGCGCAACCCUUAUCCUUAGUAGCCAGCAGUUCGGCUGGGCACUCUGGGGAGACUGCCAGGGAUAACCUGGAGGAAGGUGGGGAUGACGUCAAAUCAUCAUGCCCCUUAUGAUUUGGGCUACACACGUGCUACAAUGGCGUAAACAAAGGGAAGCGAAGGAGCGAUCUGGAGCAAACCCCAAAAAUAACGUCUCAGUUCGGAUUGUAGUCUGCAACUCGACUACAUGAAGCUGGAAUCGCUAGUAAUCGCAGAUCAGAAUGCUGCGGUGAAUACGUUCCCGGGUCUUGCACACACCGCCCGU